UGACCUCGAAUCAGGUAGGAAUACCCGCUGAAAUAAUUGGUUUUUGCGGCUGUCCGACCGGGCAGUGCCGCGAAGCUACCAUCUGCUGGAUAAUGGCUGAACGCCUCUAAGUCAGAAUCCAUGCCAGAACGCGGCGAUACCGCCCGCACGUACAGAUGGACAAGAAUAGGCUCCGGCUUACCCGGGGCCCGAGUUGUAAUUUGUAGAGGAUGCUUCUGGCGAGGUGCCUUCCGAGUUCCCUGGAACGGGACGCCAUAGAGGGUGAGAGCCCCGUCUGGCUGGACGCCGAGCCUCUGUGAAGCUCCUUCGACGAGUCGAGGAGUUUGGGAAUGCUGCUCUAAAUGGGAGGUAUAUGUCUUCUAAAGCUAAAUACCGGCCAGAGACCGAUAGCGCACAAGACGGACAAGGGGAAUCUGACUGUCUAAUUAAAACAUAGCAUUGCGAUGGCCAGAAAGUGGUGUUGACGCAAUGUGAUUUCUGCCCAGUGCUCUGAAUGUCAAAGACCCCCGGCGAACGAUAGUUACCUGGUUGAUUCUGCCAGUAGUCAUAUGCUUGUCUCAAAGAUUAAGCCAUGCAUGUCUAAGUAUAAGCAAUUAUACGGCGAAACUGCGAAUGGCUCAUUAUAUAAGUUAUCGUUUAUUUGAUAGUAUCUUGCUACUUGGAUAACCGUGGUAAUUCUAGAGACUGAGGUUCGCGCAUCUUUUGCUAGGAUGCUGGCGUAAUGGUUAUCAGCGGCCCGUCUUGAAACACGGACCAAGGAGGCGUCUUCGUAUGCGAGUGUUCGGGUGUCAAACCCCUACGCGGAAUGAAAGUGAACGCAGGUGAGAGCCCUCUGGGCGCAUCAUCGACCGAUCCUGAUGUUCUCGGAUGGAUUUGAGUAAGAGCAUACGGGGCCGGACCCGAAAGAAGGUGAACUAUGCCUGUAUAGGGUGAAGCCAGAGGAAACUCUGGUGGAGGCUCACGUGGGAUCACAGAAGGAAGACAUAGGGUAGCUCCGAUGUUCUGCUAUGUAGAGGUCACGUGACAUUGGGUAAGUCACGUGGGUAUCUAGAGGUCACGUGACAUAGUAGCUGGUUUCCGCCGAAGUUUCCCUCAGGAUAGCAGUGUUGAUCUCAGUUUUAUGAGGUAAAGCGAAUGAUUAGGGACCCGGGGGCGCUAUAUAGCCUUCAUCCAUUCUCAAACUUUAAAUAUGUAAGAAGCCCUUGGUUGGCUGCGGCGUUAUCCCUCUCCUCGCUGCAAAACUCUUGUGUUUUCCAAUGCAUGUCUGAGUGGAUUUUUGCAAAUCAAAAUGAAUCAAAACUUUCAACAACGGAUCUCUUGGUUCUGGCAUCCAAGGAAGGCAGCAGGCGCGCAAAUUACCCAAUCCCGAUACCACAAAAGGUGUUAGUACAUCUUGACAGCAGGACGGUGGCCAUGGAAGUCGGAAUCCGCUAAGGACUGUGUAACAACUCACCUGCCGAAUGUACUAGCCCUGAAAAUGGAUGGCGCUCAAGCGUCUCACCCAUACCUCGCCCUCAGGGUAGAAACGAAGCCCUGAGGAGUAGGCGGACGUGGGGGUCAGUGACGAAGCCUAGGGCGUGAGCC
rfam:Villosiclava virens strain TV-8b Sca_393, whole genome shotgun sequence.